rnacentral:lncRNA from 1 species
GGCGGGCGGGGGGGGGGGGGGGGGGGGGGCGCGCGCCCGCCGCAUCCCUCAGUCCUCACGUCUGCUUUGCUGCGGGCGGGAUCUGAACCGCUUAGUCGGUGAACCUCCCGCGGUUCGCACCUGGCAGUCGCCUUGAAGCGUGGGUAAGGGCGGUGUUUGUUAUUUUCUAGGGGCACUCGUUAGCUAAACGCGCAACUCCGGGAUGACUGGGUCCACUUCAUGUCCAUUUUCCUCACCCAUUCACUCAUUCGUUGAGCACCAGCCCCACUCCAGGAAUCAGGCAGUGAGAAGUGGCGUCAAAGGCCUCUCGGGCUGGUAAGAGGGGGACGCGACAAGCCGCUGCGGUCUGCUGCGAAGGCUGUGUGUCUAGGAGCUGAGAAGUGGCGUCUCCUUGUCCUCUGCGGCCUGCGGCCGGUUAACCAAUGGAUGAAUGUUUAUUCUACACCUAAGAAGUGCGCUGCAGAGACCCGCUGGAUGGGGGCCGAGGAAAAGAGACGGUGAAUUGUCACCAAGGACUUUAAUCUUCAAUUUACAAACAAGGAAACUGAAUCCCAGGGAAAUAGGUCAAAGAGCUACCCGAAGGUCACCUACUCCGUGAGCCUCAGGACUAGAUCUCAAAUGUUCCGACUCCAACCCAGUACUAUUUUCCACUCUGUUUUGUCCAUACAGAGACAAGUGUGAUCCAUAUGCCAGGGACACAUAUAGACCAAAUGGUAAAAAUAAGCAGAUAGUGGCUCUCUGGACUAAAAUAGUCAAGCAAAAACUUGAAAGAAACAAAUUGACAGCCGUAUAGGCAAUCAGCUAAUUUUAAGUUUAUUCAUUUUGGGGACUAUAGUAACCAAAAAUCAAGGACCUUCAACUACAAGUCUCCCUUCUUCCCUUAUCCCUCAGCCCUUCUAUCUCUUCCUGAAUUCCAGAGAUAGUUUAAGCAUGGUCAGCAAUAUAAAUGUCUCAGUUUUUAAAUAAAUAAUCAACAGACUUCAUGCAUAACUAUCUCUUAUAUCAUCCUUGGCCUGGGUGCUCCAACAGGGCUUCCUACUCCAUUAUUUGUCCCUCUGCCCACCUCUCACCAGACUACAUACCAGGACCAAUUGGGCCUAUGGAAGUUUCUUGUUAGGAUUAUUAACCAUUAUUGGUUCUUCCCAAUUCAGCUUUCAGCUGUGGGGGUCUCAGGGCAAUUUCUUGCAUUUUAGGCUUCUUUUCCUGGAUCACCCAAGC